AGAAGCACCGGCUAACUCCGUGCCAGCAGCCGCGGUAAUACGGAGGGUGCGAGCGUUAAUCGGAAUUACUGGGCGUAAAGAGUGCGUAGGUGGUUUGAUAAGUUAUCUGUAAAAGCCCUGGGCUCAACCUAGGAAGGCCAGAUAAUACUGUUAGACUCGAGUAUAGGAGAGGGUAGUGGAAUUUCCGGUGUAGCGGUGAAAUGCGUAGAGAUCGGAAGGAACACCAGUGGCGAAGGCGGCUACCUGGCCUGAUACUGACACUGAGGCACGAAAGCGUGGGGAGCAAACAGGAUUAGAUACCCUGGUAGUCCACGCCGUAAACGAUGUCAACUAGCUGUUGGUCAUAUAGAAGUGAUUAGUGGCGAAGCAAACGCGAUAAAGUUGACA
rnacentral:rRNA from 1 species